GGUGAUUUAGCUCAGUGGUAGAGCGCUUGCCUAGCAAGCACAAGGCCCUGGGUUCGGUCCCCAGCACCG
rnacentral:tRNA from 1 species